rnacentral:rRNA from 1 species
UUCCGGUUGAUCCUGCCGGACCCCACUGCUAUCGGGAUAGGGCUAAGACAUGCUAGUCGAGCGCUCGCCAGCCAAAGGUGAGCACGGCGCACAGCUCAGUAACACGUGGCUAACCUGCCCUUGGGACGGGGACACCCCCGGGAAACUGGGGUUAAUCCCCGAUAGGUGGAGAACUCUGGAAUGAGUCUCUGCCCAAAAGACGUUUAUGCCAUGCUCGUAGGCGCUGCCCAAGGAUAGGGCCGCGUCCGAUCAGGUAGUUGGUGAGGUAACGGCUCACCAAGCCUUUUACCGGUGCGGGCCGUGAGAGCGGGAGCCCGGAGAUGGGCACUGAGACAAGGGCCCAGGCCCUACGGGGCGCAGCAGUCGCGAAAACUUUGCAAUACACGAAAGUGUGACAGGGCUAUCCCGAGUGCCAUCCGCUGAGGAAGGCUUUUACCCAGUGUAGAUAGCUGGGGGAAUAAGGAGAGGGCAAGACUGGUGUCGGCCGCCGCGGUAAUACCAGCUCUCCGAGUGGUGUGGAUGUUUAUUGGGCCUAAAGCAUCCGUAGCUGGCCAAGUUAGUCCCCUGUUAAAUCCACCGAUUUAAUCGUUGGCGUGCGGGGGAUACUGCUCGGCUAGGGGGCGGGAGAGGCCGACGGUAUUUUCGGGGUAGGGGUGAAAUCCUAUAAUCCCGGGAAGACCACCAGUGGCGAAGGCUGUCGGCUAGAACGCGCCCGACGGUGAGGGAUGAAAGCUGGGGGAGCGAACCGGAUUAGAUACCCGGGUAGUCCCAGCUGUAAACGAUGCACGCUAGGUGUUUGGGCGGCUACGUGCCGCUCUAGUGCCGCAGGAAAGUCGUUAAGCCUGCCGCCUGGGGGAGUACGAUCGCAAGAUUGAAACUUAAAAGGAAUUGGCGGGGGAGCACCACAAGGGUGA